GACGAACGCUGGCGGCGUGCUUAACACAUGCAAGUCGAACGGAAAGGCCCUGCUUUUGUGGGGUGCUCGAGUGGCGAACGGGUGAGUAACACGUGAGUAACCUGCCCUUGACUUUGGGAUAACUUCAGGAAACUGGGGCUAAUACCGGAUAGGAGCUCCUGCUGCAUGGUGGGGGUUGGAAAGUUUCGGCGGUUGGGGAUGGACUCGCGGCUUAUCAGCUUGUUGGUGGGGUAGUGGCUUACCAAGGCUUUGACGGGUAGCCGGCCUGAGAGGGUGACCGGCCACAUUGGGACUGAGAUACGGCCCAGACUCCUACGGGAGGCAGCAGUGGGGAAUAUUGCACAAUGGGCGGAAGCCUGAUGCAGCAACGCCGCGUGCGGGAUGACGGCCUUCGGGUUGUAAACCGCUUUCGCCUGUGACGAAGCGUGAGUGACGGUAAUGGGUAAAGAAGCACCGGCUAACUACGUGCCAGCAGCCGCGGUGAUACGUAGGGUGCGAGCGUUGUCCGGAUUUAUUGGGCGUAAAGGGCUCGUAGGUGGUUGAUCGCGUCGGAAGUGUAAUCUUGGGGCUUAACCCUGAGCGUGCUUUCGAUACGGGUUGACUUGAGGAAGGUAGGGGAGAAUGGAAUUCCUGGUGGAGCGGUGGAAUGCGCAGAUAUCAGGAGGAACACCAGUGGCGAAGGCGGUUCUCUGGGCCUUUCCUGACGCUGAGGAGCGAAAGCGUGGGGAGCGAACAGGCUUAGAUACCCUGGUAGUCCACGCUGUAAACGGUGGGUACUAGGUGUGGGGUCCAUUCCACGGGUUCCGUGCCGUAGCUGACGCUUUAAGUACCCCGCCUGGGGAGUACGGCCGCAAGGCUAAAACUCAAAGGAAUUGACGGGGCCCCGCACAAGCGGCGGAGCAUGCGGAUUAAUUCGAUGCAACGCGUAGAACCUUACCUGGGUUUGACAUGGAUCGGGAGUGCUCAGAGAUGGGUGUGCCUCUUUUGGGGUCGGUUCACAGGUGGUGCAUGCCUGUCGUCAGCUCGUGUCGUGAGAUGUUGGGUUAAGUCCCGCAACGAGCGCAACCCUUGUUCACUGUUGCCAGCACGUUAUGGUGGGGACUCAGUGGAGACCGCCGGGGUCAACUCGGAGGAAGGUGGGGAUGACGUCAAGUCCUCAUGCCCCUUAUGUCCAGGGCUUCACGCAUGCUACAAUGGCUGGUACAGAGAGUGGCGAGCCUGUGAGGGUGAGCGAAUCUCGGAAAGCCGGUCUCAGUUCGGAUUGGGGUCUGCAACUCGACCUCAUGAAGUCGGAGUCGCUAGUAAUCGCAGAUCAGCAACGCUGCGGUGAAUACGUUCCCGGG
rnacentral:rRNA from 1 species